UACGAAGGGGGCUAGCGUUGCUCGGAAUUACUGGGCGUAAAGCGUGCGCAGGCGGUUUUGUAAGUCUGUCGUGAAAUCCCCGGGCUCAACCUGGGAAUUGCGAUGGAGACUGCAAGGCUAGAAUCUGGCAGAGGGGGGUAGAAUUCCACGUGUGAGCAGUGAAAUGCGUAGAGAUGUGGAGGAACACCGAUGGCGAAGGCAGCCCCCUGGGUCAAGAUUGACGCUCAUGCACGAAAG
rnacentral:rRNA from 1 species